rnacentral:rRNA from 1 species
AUGUUCUAUGGGGCGAUGGUGUGGGAUCCGUGGCUGAUCGUGGCGCAGAUCGUCUGCCUGCAGUGCCUCUACUACCUCGGGCUCGGCCUCUUCAUGGCGCUCCUCGUCGGUACCCGCGUCCCGCGCCUCACGCUCCUCUACCUCUUUGACUUCGCCACCCUCACCCCGCGCACAACCACCGGCUGGUGCGCCAUCGCCUCCUUCCUCCUCGCCGCCAUCGCGGGUGCUGGAUUCAUGUUUUAUGUGAUUGAGAGAGCCAAGAAGUGCCUGGACUUUGCAGCCACCCUCUACAUCAUCCAUUUGUUCAUUUGCAUUAUUUAUGGUGGAUGGCCAGCUUCAGGUACAUGGUGGGUGGUUAAUAUUGUUGGUUUGGCAAUCAUGUCCCUCCUCGGUGAAUACCUAUGCAUCAGGCGAGAGCUAAAAGAUAUUCCAGUAAGGCUUCGUGCAAGUGUUUAA